rnacentral:rRNA from 1 species
AGUGAACGCUGGCGGUAGGCCUAACACAUGCAAGUCGAACGGCAGCACAGUAAGAGCUUGCUCUUACGGGUGGCGAGUGGCGGACGGGUGAGGAAUACAUCGGAAUCUACUUUUUCGUGGGGGAUAACGUAGGGAAACUUACGCUAAUACCGCAUACGACCUACGGGUGAAAGCAGGGGAUCUUCGGAUCUUGCGCGAUUGAAUGAGCCGAGUCGGAUUAGCUAGUUGGCGGGGUAAAGGCCCACCAAGGCGACGAUCCGUAGCUGGUCUGAGAGGAUGAUCAGCCACACUGGAACUGAGACACGGUCCAGACUCCUACGGGAGGCAGCAGUGGGGAAUAUUGGACAAUGGGCGCAAGCCUGAUCCAGCCAUACCGCGUGGGUGAAGAAGGCCUUCGGGUUGUAAAGCCCUUUUGUUGGGAAAGAAAAGCAGCAGGUUAAUACCCCGCUGUUCUGACGGUACCCAAAGAAUAAGCACCGGCUAACUUCGUG